rnacentral:rRNA from 1 species
UUAAAGAAAGCGUAACAGCUCACUCAUCAAGCGACCCUGCGCCGAAAAUGUAACGGGGCUUAAGAUACGUACCGAAGCUAUGGACUUUUUAAAGUGGUAGGAGAGCAUUGUGUUUACCGAUGAAGGUGUACCGCGAGGAGCACUGGAGGUCCCACAAGAGCUGAUGAUGGCAUGAGUAGCGAUAAGGAAUGUGAGAAUCAUUCCCGCCGAAAAUCUAAGGGUUCCUGGGCCAGGUGACUCCGCCCAGGGUUAGUCGGAUCCUAAGGUGAGGCCGAAAGGCGUAAUCGAUGGAU